CACUCCUGCGGGAGGCAGCAGUGGGGAAUAUUGGACAAUGGGCGCAAGCCUGAUCCAGCCAUGCCGCGUGAGUGAUGAAGGCCCUAGGGUUGUAAAGCUCUUUCACCGGUGAAGAUAAUGACGGUAACCGGAGAAGAAGCCCCGGCUAACUUCGUGCCAGCAGCCGCGGUAAUACGAAGGGGGCUAGCGUUGUUCGGAUUUACUGGGCGUAAAGCGCACGUAGGCGGACUAUUAAGUCAGGGGUGAAAUCCCGGGGCUCAACCCCGGAACUGCCUUUGAUACUGGUAGUCUUGAGUUCGAGAGAGGUGAGUGGAAUUCAGAGUGUAGAGGUGAAAUUCGUAGAUAUUCGGAGGAACACCAGUGGCGAAGGCGGCUCACUGGCUCGAUACUGACGCUGAGGUGCGAAAGCGUGGGGAGCAAACAGGAUUAGAAACCCUGGUAGUCC
rnacentral:rRNA from 1 species